CCGUUUUUUUAAUUUCCUUUUUUGAGGUGGGAAAACUGUGAAACCCACCUUGAUUCGUCCCCUCUCCCCCCCUCCCCACCUUCCCUCGCCCUAAUCCCCCAACAAGGAAGGAAGGAGCAGUUGGUUCAAUCUCUGGUAAUCUAUGCCAGCAAUUAUGACAAUGUUAGCAGACCAUGCAGCUCGUCAGCUGCUUGAUUUCAGCCAAAAACUGGAUAUCAACUUAUUAGAUAAUGUGGUGAAUUGCUUAUACCAUGGAGAAGGAGCCCAGCAAAGAAUGGCUCAAGAAGUACUGACACAUUUAAAGGAGCAUCCUGAUGCUUGGACAAGAGUCGACACAAUUUUGGAAUUUUCUCAGAAUAUGAAUACGAAAGUAAGCAAGUGGUGGUUUUAAAAUCUGUUAUUUCUUUUCUUCCAGUCAUAAACUUUGAGGAAGGUAUCUCAUUUUUAGUAUUAGCAUUUGUUAUCUCAAAUUAUUUUAUAUUGUUAAUUUGUUUCAAAAUUUAGUCUUAAGCAUAUAAUUAAUUCUUGCAAAUAGUCCUAAGAAUUAUGAAUGAAGUUUUGUAAUGGGACUAGUAUGCAAGGUGGCUUUUUUGGUUGUCUGAUUUUGUUUUUUUCUUUUUAGAAUAUGUAUACAGGUCUAAGUAGCAUAAAUUCUGAAUGUUAUUCAGAGAUGAAACAUAACAUUAAGGAAUUAUUUUGGGCAAGUAAUCAAUAUAAUACAGG
rnacentral:sRNA from 1 species